rnacentral:ncRNA from 1 species
UGCUGCGGUGGGUCGAGCGGUCCCCUCAAAGAAACACGAGGGUGAAAGAACCCGACCAAACCCACCCCCUCCCUCCCGCACGCAGCGCAAACUCACCCACUCGGGUGAACAUCACCAACUCGGCUGGAUUCGGGACAGGUUGCCGGGCUUACGCUCGCCGCAGCACCACCGCAGAUAUGCCCCAGACAUACGACGGCCCUCGCAGGGACUGGCAUCCCAUUGCGAGGGCCUGACCACCUAGGAAGCCGACCUUCCCG